rnacentral:rRNA from 1 species
UGGGGAAUUUUGGACAAUGGGGGCAACCCUGAUCCAGCCAUUCCGCGUGAGUGAAGAAGGCCUUCGGGUUGUAAAGCUCUUUCGCAAGGGAAGAAACGAUACAGACGAAUAAUCUGUGUUAAUGACGGUACCUUGAUAAGAAGCACCGGCUAACUACGUG